rnacentral:lncRNA from 1 species
CGAUGAAGAAACUUUUCCUACUGGCCGCGUUAGAGAACAAGAAAGGUAUUUCAGAGAAGUUCAUAGCCAAUUGGCUGAGAUAAAAGAAAUGACACGCUGCAGCUUUCACAGGGUAAAUGAUAAAAUAUUGGAUAUGAAAGCACAAUUGAAUGUAAUGUUCUCUAUGAUGAUUGGGAUCGAAGCCAGAGUGGAACAAUUAAUGAAAAUUACUCCUCUCCCUCAGCAGACUCAGUCACAAAACCACAGAGAACGGGAGAUCGAACCGUUGCCAAGGCUUACAAAUCGAUCUUCAAAUUAGCAUUCACCCAAUACUUCUCGAAGUAAUAAAGGAAAAACCCCUCUUAUAGAAACUAAAAACAUGGGUGGGGAAUGUCCGAGAACGGCAACGACGAGAGACGUUAAUUCUCAGUCUUCUGGCAGCAAAAGUACACCCAUGUAUUGUCCUCUUCAUGAAGUGAAAGGACAUAACCUAGAAAACUGUUACGC